GCAACAUGUGCUAGCAUGUCAAUUUUACAAACAUGAUCUAAUCUAAUUAGACCCAUGAUCAAUACUCUUUAUGUGUGACCCAUUGGGUUUCAUAUCUAGCUAGCAAUAGGUCUGAGUUCAAGUCAAUUUGAUUUGAUUAGAAUUUAAUCUAAUCGAUCUAGAUCCAAUCGAACUAAUCCGAUGUCAGCAAUCAGAACUCUUUCUAAUUGGUGAUUGAAUUAAACUCUUUAAUUUGAUCAAACUCAUAAGACAAGAUUGACGUCUAGCAAUGUAUCAUGUCUACCUAAAAGAUAUAAAAUUUUUGAUGAAAAUAUCAAAAAUAUCCUUCAGUGAAAAGUU
rnacentral:lncRNA from 1 species